ACGGUUCUGGCGAAAAGGUAAACGCGUUUCAUUCAAAAUGAAAUUUGGAAACAAAUUGUGGGUUCGAGUCCCACGAACCGU
rnacentral:tRNA from 1 species